GCGGAGCCCAAAGUCGCUGGAGUUUUGCUCCCGGGACGGGACGUCCGAGAGGUGAGAGGCUGACGUUGGGGUGACGCGCCAACUUAAUCACACCUGACGUCACGUCUGGUCGUCUUGGCUCACCGGUCGCGAUUGGCCAGGCUCGUUUGGGGGAUCCCCUGCUAAUUGGGUGCCCAGGUUGCCUGGUCCUGUUACCUGGAGUCGGAGCUCCGCCCCUUGGGGGGAGAGUAGUGGAGAGUCGGGAGUGUGGGGGGAAUAUUUCCUGCGCUGGUGGUCCUUGGAGAAGAGGAUCCCCACCCAAAAUAAGUGGCCAAGUCCCACCACCAUCAGCCAGAGCUGCCUGGACAGUGACACCCUACCACCCAUUGACAACCAGCUUCCUGUCUUGUGGAGUGGCAGUUGGUGGAAGCCAGCUGUUAUGAUUCAUACCAUUUAAGAAUUCUGCUUUUUGAGAAGUGACGCUAAUGGAGCCAGGCUGAAUGAUGUCUGAUUGGGAGAAUUUUCUUUGUGAAAGAGGUUUGAUUUCUAGUGCCUAUUUUUUUUUUUUUUUUUGACAGGUACAUUCCAAUUUUCUGUGUGAGCUCAGUUAGAUAGAUAAAUGUUGUUUUCAUCAAAUGUUUGUGCUGGCUAUUAUUUCUUCCCGGAAAACAAACAAGCAUGGAAACUUCCAUUAAAAAAAAGUUUCUUGCCAUUACCAGUUCUUUAAUAGUUUUACAAAUUUUCAGGCUUCUGAUAUUCUCUGAAAGGCAAAAAAAAUUCUUUGCCCGGGACAGGAUUACAUUUUGGAUUUGUUAAAAUAAUUCUCAUGUGCCUGAGACGUUAGCCUCAUAUCCCUUGAGGCAUGGUCUUUCUCUUGGGCUGCAGAAGCCAAUUUCAUCCUUGAGGUUUGUUUGUCAUUGUGUUAGCUCAGACAGACUUUUGAAUACCAUGUAAAAGCAGAAUAUUAGGAGGUCAAAGAGGCUUGCCCCCAUAGAGACAAGUUAUGGUGCUAUUCAGUCAUUAAAUACACUGAAAAGAAAAAUAAAAAAUCUAAAAUAUUUUUAGGGGAAAAGUAU
rnacentral:lncRNA from 1 species